rnacentral:misc_RNA from 1 species
CAAAAACUGCUUUUGUUCUAAUUGGUAUUGCUAAAAUAUCCACCACCACAACCUAAUGUUUAACAAUCCAGAACAUCUAUCACUUUCACAUCAAGAUCAGGAACUUCUAUUUAGUAUUUAGUUUGGUUACCUGUUUCAUUUAGAAGACAUAUGAAUCCAUAAAACGCAUUCCAUUUUUGUGGUUUUUUAAUCUUCUUUUGCAGUUAGUUCAGUUGACUUGCUUACAGAUUAUUAGCAUUAAUUAUAGCCUCUGAAUUUCUUGCUAGCAACCUGAUGAGGUUGGUUAGCCAUAUGGGGAUUUCACAUCCUAAUUAUGCCCUUUGGGCCACUGGAGUGGGGUUGCUUCCUGAUCCUGAAAUAAGAAUGUUCUUUUAAGGUUUUAGUCUGAGAUGGUGUUUGUAUUUUGCAUCAUGAGAAAAUGUGUACUGGAUUGGUUUAUUUUGCGUUAUGAGAAAAUGUGUACUGGAUUGGUUUAUUUUGCGUU